GUAGGUGGCAAGCGUUGUCCGGAAUUAUUGGGCGUAAAGCGCGCGCAGGCGGGUCCUUUAAGUCUGAUGUGAAAGCCCACGGGCUCAACCGUGGAGGGUCAUUGGAGACUGGGGGACUUGAGUACAGAAGAGGAAAGCGGAAUUCCAAGUGUAGCGGUGAAAUGCGUAGAGAUUUGGAGGAACACCAGUGGCGAAGGCGGCUUUCUGGUCUGUAACUGACGCUGAGGCGCGAAAGCGUGGGGAGCAAACAGGAUUAGAUACCCUGGUAGUCCACGCCGUAAACGAUGAGUGCUAAGUGUUAGGGGGUUUCCGCCCCUUAGUGCUGCAGCUAACGCAUUAAGCACUCCGCCUGGGGAGUACGGCCGCAAAGGCUG
rnacentral:rRNA from 1 species